ACGUAGGUGGCAAGCGUUGUCCGGAUUUACUGGGUGUAAAGGGCGUGCAGCCGGGCCGGCAAGUCAGAUGUGAAAUCCACGGGCUUAACCCGUGAACUGCAUUUGAAACUGUUGGUCUUGAGUAUCGGAGAGGUAAUCGGAAUUCCUUGUGUAGCGGUGAAAUGCGUAGAUAUAAGGAAGAACACCAGUGGCGAAGGCGGAUUACUGGACGACAACUGACGGUGAGGCGCGAAAGCGUGGGGAGCAAACAG
rnacentral:rRNA from 1 species